rnacentral:rRNA from 1 species
AUUGAACGCUGGCGGCAGGCCUAACACAUGCAAGUCGAGCGGAUGAAGGGAGCUUGCUCCUGGAUUCAGCGGCGGACGGGUGAGUAAUGCCUAGGAAUCUGCCUGGUAGUGGGGGAUAACGUCCGGAAACGGGCGCUAAUACCGCAUACGUCCUGAGGGAGAAAGUGGGGAUCUUCGGACCUCAUGCUAUCAGAUGAGCCUAGGUCGGAUUAGCUAGUUGGUGGGGUAAAGGCCUACCAAGGCGACGAUCCGUAACUGGUCUGAGAGGAUGAUCAGUCACACUGGAACUGAGACACGGUCCAGACUCCUACGGGAGGCAGCAGUGGGGAAUAUUGGACAAUGGGCGAAAGCCUGAUCCAGCCAUGCCGCGUGUGUGAAGAAGGUCUUCGGAUUGUAAAGCACUUUAAGUUGGGAGGAAGGGCAGUAAGUUAAUACCUUGCUGUUUUGACGUUACCAACAGAAUAAGCACCGGCUAACUUCGUG